rnacentral:rRNA from 1 species
UACGUAGGGUGCGAGCGUUGUCCGGAAUUACUGGACGUAAAGAGCUCGUAGGUGGUUUGUCGCGUUGUUCGUGAAAACUCACAACUCAAUUGUGGGCGUGCGGGCGAUACGGGCAGACUGGAGUACUGCAGGGGGAGACUGGAAUUCCUGGUGUAGCGGUGGAAUGCGCAGAUAUCAGGAGGAACACCCGUGGCGAAAGCGGCUCUCUGGGACGGUACUGACGCUGAGACGCGAAAGCGUGGGGAGCAAACAGG